CGUGUAUGAUGACAAUUCGGUAAUGCUGCAGACUCCCGACUGCCUUGUGGGGAAGCCAACCUUGGAGAGCUGAGCGUGCG
ensembl:snoRNA SNORD39 Small nucleolar RNA SNORD55/SNORD39